GACGAACGCUGGCGGCGUGCUUAACACAUGCAAGUCGAACGGAAAGGCCCUGCUUUUGGGGGGUGCUCGAGUGGCGAACGGGUGAGUAACAAGUGAGUAACCUGCCCUUGACUUUGGGAUAACUUCAGGAAACUGGGGCUAAUACCGGAUAGGAGCUCCUGCUGCAUGGUGGGGGUUGGAAAGUUUCGGCGGUUGGGGAUGGACUCGCGGCUUAUCAGCUUGUUGGUGGGGUAGUGGCUUACCAAGGCUUUGACGGGUAGCCGGCCUGAGAGGGUGACCGGCCACAUUGGGACUGAGAUACGGCCCAGACUCCUACGGGAGGCAGCAGUGGGGAAUAUUGCCCAAUGGGCGGAAGCCUGAUGCAGCAACGCCGCGUGCGGGAUGACGGCCUUCGGGUUGUAAACCGCUUUCGCCUGUGACGAAGCGUGAGUGAUGGUAAUGGGUAAAGAAGCACCGGCUAACUACGUG
rnacentral:rRNA from 1 species